UACGGGGGGAGCAAGCGUUGUUCGGAUUUACUGGGCGUAAAGGGCGCGUAGGCGGCCACCGCAAGUCAAUUGUGAAAUCUCCGGGCUUAACUCGGAAAGGUCAACUGAUACUGUGCGGCUAGAGUGCGGAAGGGGCAACUGGAAUUCUCGGUGUAGCGGUGAAAUGCGUAGAUAUCGAGAGGAACACCUGCGGCGAAGGCGGGUAGCUGGGCCGACACUGACGCUGAUGCGCGAAAGCCAGGGGAGCGAACGGG
rnacentral:rRNA from 1 species